CGGCCAGACUCCUACGGGAGGCAGCAGUGAGGAAUAUUGGUCAAUGGUCGGGAGACUGAACCAGCCAAGCCGCGUGAGGGAGGAAGGUACAGAGUAUCGUAAACCUCUUUUGUCAGGGGACAAAGACUGGGACGCGUCCCCGGAUGAGUGUACCUGAAGAAAAAGCAUCGGCUAACUCCGUGCCAGCAGCCGCGGUAAUACGGAGGAUGCGAGCGUUAUCCGGAUUUAUUGGGUUUAAAGGGUGCGUAGGCGGAAUGCCAAGUCAGCGGUAAAAUCGCGGGGCUCAACCGCGCUCCGCCGUUGAAACUGGCGGGCUGGAGUUGGAGAGAAGUACGCGGAAUGCGCGGUGUAGCGGUGAAAUGCUUAGAUAUCGCGCAGAACCCCGAUUGCGAAGGCAGCGUACCGGCUCCACACUGACGCUGAGGCACGAAAGCGUGGGUAUCGAACAGGAUUAGAUACCCCGGUACGG
rnacentral:rRNA from 1 species